UAAAAGGUCAAGACCCCUAGCAGCUUGAAGUAGCACUAGCCCUAGUGGCUGUGUGGUAGAGUUUCUGCCUAUCAUGUGGGAGAUCCAAGUUUAAGCCCUAGUUGGGGUGACUUGGGGUGGGUGAACUAACAAGAAGCAA